rnacentral:misc_RNA from 1 species
AAUAAUAAUAAUAAUAAUAAUAGAGUGCAUCGUAUUUCUCUUGAAAACUAGUUACAACAUUAAAAUGGAGGAUGGGCCCACAAUGACAAAUUGCGGUGAGAAACUAAAACGAAAAUCCACUUUUGCUUGUUUAUAUUUUACCAUUUUCAAGUUUAAAAGCGAUAAAAAGAAUAGCAAAAAAUUACAUGAAAUUUCAACAUUCAACCGAAUGAGUUUCCUUUUUAAUAAAAAAAAGGUUAAAAAAAAAAAGGGCAAAAAGGGUGCACUUCACGGUUGAUUUGGAACAUAUUAGCGAUAAUUUUAUUGAAAAAUGGGAGAAGGUUCAA